rnacentral:lncRNA from 1 species
AUGCUGAAGUCCCCUGGGUUAAGAAGAAGGUUUUCCCUUUUGCCUAGGGCAGAUUUGGGUGGUUGUAUAACGCUGCCCCAGAUAAGGCUCCCACCCAAGGGCAGCCUACACCUGUGUUGGGCUGAGCUGUUCACCUGGUUUGCAGUCACAGCUGGAACCCCUGAGGACAACCUUUGUCUCCCCACCUUUCAGGUUUCUUCUCCUGGUGUGCCUGCACCAGAAGGAUCCUGUCCUGCUGGGAGGAGGCAGCUCUGGAGGUUUUUAAGGCAGGGAAGAUGGAGCCUAAACAAGAAUAAGCUCAGGAUGCCUUUUGCACAGACAGCUAUCUGCAAGGAGCCCCGUGGGACGUGAGCUGCAGUUUGUGUGGAUAAUGCUAAAGGUAGCAUUUCAAACUUGAGACCAUCAAUUGAUCAUCUGUUGUUAUGUCUAACCCACCACAGCAGUGACUCCCAGCUGAUGAACUGAGUUUCAUUUUAAACACACCUAAAGGAGGAAAAAAAGAGAUUAAAUUGACUUCUUUCCCCGUUUUUGACUACUCUGUGCCCACAAUUCAAACACGUACUGCAUAAUCUCGUGAAAAUUAAAUGUCAUCAUUUGACUGUAAGAGGAAUGACCCACUGAAUUGAAAUUACAAAGAACUCUGAAUUGCUGUCAGCUGUUCUCUCAGUGGGUCAGCAUUUCUAAGGAUGAGCCGAUUCUUCAGGUAUGUUGGGAGCAGAGAGGGUGGGUUUUGUUUGCAGGAGAGCAGGCAUUAGCAGGGAUGCACGGUGUCACAGAGCUGCAGUCACAAUGUCCUCAGCACUGCUGUGCCAGGGAAAUGCUGUUCAGAUUAUUGCAGGGGAACCAUGUCACACUUGCUGCAAGGGCUGGAAGCAGCAGCUCGGGGCUGUUCCCAUUAUGUAAGGUUUUCCCUGGGGAAACAGCAAGGCAGGAGGCUGCUGUCCCCUUUCCCAGCUCUCCUGUGCUCCCAGUGCCAUCAGCCCCUGGGUGCCUGGGUAGAACUGGGGGGAUCUGGUCAGGGAUGUGAAUCUGCAGAGGAGGACUACGAACCCCACCCAGUGCAGGAUGCUCCCUCCAUAGCCAGAGCUGUGGGCAGAGGAUUUCUCCACCCAUGACUUAA